AAUUCUUUUAGAAGCAAGAUUAUACCUCAAUCAAAUUGAUAUGGUUUGGCUGUGUCUCCACCCAAAUCUCAUCUUGAAUUCCCGUCUGCUGUGGGAGGGACUGUGUGGAAGGUUAUUGAAUCAUGGGGGUGGAUCUUUCCCACACUGUUCUUGUGAUGGUGAAUAAGUCUUAUGAGAUCUGAUGGUUUUAUAAGGGGGAGUUUCCCCGCACAAGUUCUCUUCUUUUGCCUGCUGCCAUCCACAUAAGAUGUAACUUGCUUCUCCUUGCCUUCCGCCAUGAUUGUGAGGCUGAGGUCCUGUGGAAGUAUACAGAAGACAUCUGUGCAGCAAGCUGAGCCAGAAAGGAAGAGACUAGUAAUUGUUGCAGAAAAAUCAAGAAGACUAAUCUUGCAUCUCCCUUGAAAUAUCCAAGAGGUAUUUCUGGAAAUGCCUGGAGGGAAUUUGUGUAUGAGGAUCAAGAAGAUGAAAAGCAGGUAGAAGGAGAGGAAAUCAAUUGUUAUUUUUGACUAUUAACAAGACUCUAAUUUUAUCUUCAAUGUGCUAAGAUCUAUGUCUUCAUACACAUAAAUAUAUAAUUUCAGCUCUUUUAUACAUUUUUUUUGACUCUUAGGUGGAUUUUCUUAAGAUUAGCUAAAACAAGCAAAACAUCUUGUUAGCUAAAGCGUCUUGUUUAGAUUACAUGUGUAUAUAUGUUGUUUGAAUGCUUUGUGUUAGUCAGUCUUUACUAGGUUAUGCUGCAAUAACAAACAAUCAAAAAUCUCUUCAGCUUACAGGAAAAGAAAAGGGGACUUAUUUCUAAUUUGUGUGUCUGUUGUGGGUUAUAUUUAACUUUAUUUUACAGUUUGUUUUCAUUCUAGAAUCCAGGCUGACUGAUAAGCCCCUUACAUAGACACACUGUCCUUGAGAAAAAGCGAAAAGAAAAGAUGAAAAGCCUAGCAGUGACAUCUAAAGCUUCUGCAGAAAACUUAACUUCAUAUUUUACUGGAAUACUUGACACCUGUAGGGAGGAACACUGCAAAUCACAUGGCACAGGAAUAGAGCUGCAGAUUGUAA
rnacentral:lncRNA from 10 species